rnacentral:rRNA from 1 species
GAUGAACGCUGGCGGCGUGCUUAACACAUGCAAGUCGAACGGAAAGGCCCAAGCUUGCUUGGUUACUCGAGUGGCGAACGGGUGAGUAACACGUGGGUGAUCUGCCCUGCACUUCGGGAUAAGCCUGGGAAACUGGGUCUAAUACUGGAUAGGACCACUUCUUGGAUGGUGUGGUGGAAAGUUUUUUCGGUGUGGGAUGAGCUCGCGGCCUAUCAGCUUGUUGGUGGGGUAAUGGCCUACCAAGGCGUCGACGGGUAGCCGGCCUGAGAGGGUGUACGGCCACAGUGGGAUUGAGCUACGGCCCAGACUCCUACGGGAGGCAGCAGUGGGGAAUAUUGCACAAUGGGCGCAAGCCUGAUGCAGCGACGCCGCGUGGGGGAUGACGGCCUUCGGGUUGUAAGCUCCUAUCGCUAGGGACGAAGCGUUUUUGUGACGGUACCUGGAGAAGAAGCACCGGCUAACUACGUG